UCUUGGUCGUUUAGAGGAAGUAAAAGUCGUAACAAGGUUUCCGUAGGUGAACCUGCGGAAGGAUCAUUAUCGAAUGAAACUUCUGGCCGGAUGCUGUUGUGCUGGCCCUUUGGGGCAAUGUGCACACCUCUGGUCGUCUGUUUCUUCUGUUCCACCUGUGCACUGCCUGUAGACACGAGAGUGUCUAUGAUUACGGUUACAAACAUGAUGUUUUGCAUAUUGGUUACAUAUGUAUGAUAAUAUUACAACUUUCAACAAUGGAUCUCUUGGCUCUCGCAUCGAUGAAGAACACAGCGAAAUGUGAUAAGUAAUGUGAAUUGCAGAAUCCAGUGAAUCAUCGAAUCUUUGAACGCAUCUUGCGCUCCUUGGCAUUCCGAGGAGCAUGCCUGUUUGAGGGUCAUUAAACUAUCGAAACACCCUUUCUUUGGGGUGUUUUGGACUUUGGGAGUGUUUUGCUGGCCUGUUUGANCCAGCUCUCCUCAAAAGCAUUAGCUUUGGAGACUGUCAGUGUGAUAACUUUGUUUAACACUGAGUCUCUGCUUCUUAAAUAUGUGCCCCCUUUGACCUCAAAUCAGGUAGGACUACCCGCUGAACUUAANCAUAUCAAUAAGCGGAGGAAUCUAAUC
rnacentral:rRNA from 1 species